rnacentral:lncRNA from 10 species
GGUGAAUAUCUGAGCUCACUUGGUACAGUGAUGGGUACUUGGAUAAACUGCUUGAAGAGUGUGUGUGCAAGGGUGAAAUGGGAGAUACUGCCUGUACCCCCAAAAGGCCAGCUAGAUGAAGUGUUUCAUGGAGGAGGGUUUGCUCUGGGGCAGAAUGCUGCAAAUCCCAGAGUUCUGCAUCGAGGCUGAGGUGGAACCGAAUUAGAGGCUGCUCCCUGGAGGGCAGCCAGACAAGAGUUACAUGAAGAUUAACAGAGACAAAGAGUGCAACACUGAGUUCCGAUUUUUCCUGCCUUCUUGUUAAAUGAAGACAUUGCCCAGAAUUAGAAUUCCAUCCAAUCUUGUUCUCCUCGUCUUACUCAGCUUACAUAUUUUCCCUGAGCUCCAGACCCAUAUUUAAAGAAGAGUAUUGAAUAUGUCCAUAAGUGUAUACACCUCAAAAUUAAUAUUUACCAAAUAAAGUUUAUCUUUCUACCACACUACCACCCCCAUGUGGUCUCUCUCUCAGUGAAUAGAAUUAUCAUCUAACCAAUUUCUCAAGUUAAAAGUUGAACAGUGUUCAUGUACUCCUCCCUAUCCCUCAUUGUCACCAUUCAUUUUAGAGCACUGAUUCUAGAGUCAAUGCUGAAUGACUGUAAACUUGGUAGAGACAAGAUUAAUUUCAUGGCUAGAUUACUAGUCAUGAGAGCCCAGCAAAAUCAUUUAAGCUUGCUCUACUUCAAUUUUCUUAUCUGUAAAAUGGGUAUUGGACAUACGACUCCACAGGGUGCUUGUGAGGAUUAAAUACAUAUGCAUGCACACACACACACACACAUCUUAGACAGUUGUGUGCUAAGUGCUAUAUAAUUGUAUUACGUGUAUUAUUAUCAAAACUUACAGAACUGCCCGCUAGCGCUGACCUUACUCUCCUCACCCAUUACCAUUAUCUCACUGCAGACUUUCAUCAUCUCCUACAUGGUGACAUUUUUCCCAUCUUCUUCAUAACUUUCACCACACCAUAGUGGCAGAUUGACUUGUCUGUCUCCCUUUCUGAACAAUGGGCUCCUUAGUGCAGGGCCAUCAUUUAUUUAUUUUUGUAUCCUUAAAGCC